GUGGCAAACAGCGGGGCCGGCGCUCGGAUAGUGCCGGCCCUGCAUAGACCGGCAGGGGAGAUCCUGAGACCUCCCCUGCCGGCCUCGGCCCAUGGCCACCGCGGCCCACCGGGGAUUUGCCCGGUGUGCCCGAUGGCCAGUCCGGGCCUGUGGGACGGUGAGUAUUGAUGGUUUGUGGAUAUAUUAGCAAUGUAAUUGCAGGCAGGAAAGGCAAAAUAUUAGGCCAGAAAAGGGCCGUGCACUGUAAUCAUAAAAUAAAUACUAAAAUAGUGUGCCUCCAUUAUGAUAAAAAAAAACACUGCAGUCCACUGCUCAAAAGCAACAAAAAUGGAUAAUCUACUGUGAUGUAGCACCCUUCACUUAGGAAUUUUGUGUGCAAACCCUUUGAGGGUUCCUCGUCAAUAUGUAAUCCUCUCUUCUCAAGUCCCUUAUUGGGAUAUGUACAAGACAAAAACGUGAGAAUGGGGAAGACAAUGUGAGUUCCAUACAUAGAGUAGUAUUGUGUGAUAAAAAAUCUCAGAAUAAAAAUGUGUCUCUUACAUUAAAGCAGACCGUAACAGCAUGCCAUUAGUAAUACACCAGUAUUCUAUACAGCACCUCUUUCCUACAAAUCCUCCAGCCAGAAACCAUGUUCCAAAACAGGCACCAUAUUUCAUUAUUCGCUUUAUGUUCUGUUAGUGAAAACAGACUUUAGGUCAAAAAUUUAAAAUAGAAUAGUCUUCCCAAAUGCGUUUUGCCUGUAGAUUGAGGCUUCAUCAAUGGUAAAAACCAGAAGUGAAUUGAGGACAAGCAGAAUAAUGUAUAUGGGAAGAUCGUGUAACCUUGUUGUUAAAGGGACACUAUAGUCACCCAGACCACUUCAGGUCAAUGAAGUGGUCUGGGUGCCAGGUCCCCCCGGUUUUAACCCUUCAGAUGUAAAUAUAGCAGUUUCCGCGAAACAGCUAUGUUUAUUGCAGUGUUAAUCCAGCCUCUAGUGGCUGUCUUCCUGACAGCCGCUCGAGGUGCUUCUGCGCCGCUGGAUGCGAAAAUCGUAUUCAGUGUGCAGAAUGUCCAUAGGAAAGCAUUGAGAAAUCACUUGGGAGCUGACGUCGGCGGGGUAGGAGAGGUCACCAGUGCUGAGGGAGCCCAGCGCAGGAUAAAGGUAAGUAGCUGAAGAGGUUUUAACCCCUUCAGCCCCGCGGGAGGGGGAACCUGAGGAUGGGGAGGACCUAAGGGUUAUAUAGUGUCAGGAAAACGAGUUUGUUUUCCUGACAUUAUAGUGUUCCUUUAAGACACAUUGUCAAGCAAAAUUAUCACUAUCAAUAUCAGAUCGCUCUUAGAACAUAGCUCGUUUCCAAUGUUGUUGUUUCCAAACUAGAAAAUCUUACUAAUUGUUACUGCCAAUUUCCAACUGAAAAAAGUUUUAACGUUUCCUAUAGAGAAUAGUAAGAGAUGCUAAGCUGUACUUAACAACUCGUUUCCCUGUUAGAUAGUAAAUUUGAAUGGCUGCAAUCGCCAAAACUACAACCUUCCUUAGCUCAGAGUAAAGAAAAAAAGCCAACCUAACAACGGCAAACUCUCAUUUACCUAAAGGAACGUGCUUUGCAUAUAUCAUUAUAUUUAAAAAAUAAUAGGAAGCAGGACGUGCCUUUAAUACUGUUCAUUUAUGGUUGCUAUGGCAACAACUAAGAAAGUGCGCAUUUUGUUUUUUUUUGUUGGAAUCGCUAAUAGAUAACUGAUCAGCUGCAGAAGGUAUGGAUGGAAUUUGAUUUUAUUACAGCCUGGAUGUUUGAAACCUGUUUACAUUUUUUUUUGGGGUAGCAAAUAUUACUCACUUUCAACAUGAAUAACAGUUUAUAGAUAACAAUUAGCAAUUGCAUUGGGAAUUAAACCUUAACAGUCAAAUGUCUGUUUUACGUGCAAUUCUGUUUUGGUGUCCAGAAAUUGUGUAAAUAAAUCAAAAUGUGUCAGCAAAUGAUUCAUAUGUUUUCAAGCAAAUACCAUAAAUAUGAACUUAUAUGAGCAUUAUUCCCUACACUAUUGCCCCAGAAAACUGAUCCUUUAAAUUGCCUUUCUGUGUGUUAAUACGAUUUAUGUUUUAAGCCCUUAAAUGCCAUUGACAAGCCAACUAUGAUACAAAUGGAUUUGCCCAACCUUAGAGGAUUAUGGAAUGGUUUAUAAAACCACUUUCUCUAUAACAGUGGGUUGGUGCUGAGGUUUACCACUUUUUAUUUUAAGUCUACAAUAUCUAUUUAAUAUCAGUUAUCCAUGACCAUCUACUGGAGAGCCACAGACCAGUCGUGAAUUGUAGAAAUUUUGUAUUGUCUGCUUGAUCAAAUUAUAUUUGAUGUUUAUAUUGGUACUGAAGAAUAGUCACAUGAGUUGUCUAAUGCUAGAAUUAGCUAUGAAUGUAUUGAA
rnacentral:lncRNA from 1 species